AUGGCACUGGCAGCUUACCCUGCACUUGUUGAAAUACUUCAUCGAUUCCCAAACAUUAAUAGCCCUAUUGUUCCUCAGACCCUUGAGAUCCCUUCACUGGUUUGUGGUUACUGCUGGAUCCUCCUCUUCAAUAUUUAGAACACUAUGACAACACAAGAAGCAGAACUAUCAUCAUGGCGUCUCAUUUCUCAGUUCUACGACUUGGCAUUUUCUUCACACUCAAGGCAAGUGAAACAUGAAAUGAAAGUAGAGCCUGUAUACAGAUUGAAAUAGAGAAAUUACCUCAGACUAAAGCAGAAGCAGAUGGGAAGGCCCCAGAGGAGUUUUAUCCUAAAGGGAAAGGGACAAACAACCUGCCAAUCCCACCUACUGUUGCACAAUUCAACGCUAAUUAGAAGAGUCUAUUUCUUUGCAAGAGCUUUCAAAUAAAAAUACCUAUGUUAAAAA